rnacentral:rRNA from 1 species
CAAGUCGUGCGGGAUUCUGCAGAGUAUCGCAGAGUCUAGCGGCAAACGGGUGAGUAACGCGUAGGAAACCUCCCUCAAAAUGGGGAAUAUUUCCGAGAAAUCGGAGGCAAUACCGCAUAAGACCACAGUUUGGCAUCAAAUAGUGGUUAAAGUAGCAAUGCGUUUUGAGAUGGUCCUGCGUCCUAUCAGCUAGUUGGCGGGGUAACGGCUCGCCAAGGCUAUGACGGGUAUCCGGCCUUAAAGGGUGAACGGACACACUGGAACUGAGACACGGUCCAGACUCCUAUGGGAGGCAGCAGUGGGGAAUUUUGGACAAUGGGGGAAACCCUGAUCCAGCGACGCCGCGUGGAGGACGAAGGCCUUCGGGUUGUAAACUCCUUUUAGAGGGGAAGAAAUAAAUGACGUUACCCUCAGAAAAAGCCACGGCUAACUACGUGCCAGCAGCCGCGGUAAUACGUAGGUGGCGAGCGUUACUCGGAAUUACUAGGCGUAAAGCGUAUGUAGGCUGUCAUAUAAGUCUUUAGUAAAAUUUCCCGGCUCAACCGGGAAAAGCCUAAGGAUACUGUUCGACUUGAGUUUGGGAGAGGGAGACGGAAUUCCUGGUGUAGCGGUGAAAUGCGUAGAUAUCAGGAGGAACACCGAUGGCGAAAGCAGUCUCCUGGACCAAUACUGACGCUGAUGUACGAAAGCUAGGGUAGCAAACAGGAUUAGAUACCCUGGUAGUCCUAGCUGUAAACUAUGUUCACUAGAUGUGGGGAGUAUCGACCCUUUCCGCGUCGACGUUAACGCAUUAAGUGAACCGCCUGGGGAGUACGACCGCAAGGUUAAAACUCAAAGGAAUUGACGGGGGCCCGCACAAGCGGUGGAGUAUGUGGUUUAAUCCGACGCAACGCGAAAAACCUUACCUGGGCUUGAACUGCUGAUGGUAAAAACCGGAAACGGCAAUGACCCGCAAGGGAGUCAGCAGAGGUGUUGCAUGGCUGUCGUCAGCUCGUGUCGUGAGAUGUUGGGUUAAGUCCCGCAACGAGCGUAACCCUUAUCCCAUGUUACCUGUAGCGAUACAGGGUCUCUGAGGAAACUGCCAUUGAUAAAAUGGAGGAAGGUGAGGAUGACGUCAAGUCAUCAUGUCCUUUAUGUCCAGGGCUACACACGUACUACAAUGGCCAGUACAGAGGGUAGCAAUAUCGUAAGGUGGAGCAAAUCCCUGAAAGCUGGCCCCAGUUCGGAUUGUGGGCUGCAGUUCGUCCACAUGAAGUAGGAAUCGCUAGUAAUCGCAGAUCAGCAGGCUGCGGUGAAUACGUUCCCGGGCCUUGUACACACCGCCCGUCACACCACGAAAGUCAGUCAUAACAGAAGUCGUCGAGCUAACCGAAAGGAGGCAGGCGCCUAAGUUAUGGUUGGUGAUUGGGGUGAAGUCGUAACAAGGUAGCCGUACGAGAACGUGCGGCUGGAUCACCUCCUUUUUAAGGAGUAAACAUGCGCUUUAAGUUUACUUAAAGCGAGAUGUUAAUGGUCGAUUCUUGGAUUGUAAUAAUGUUUGAAUCGAGUUCUGCGGGGCGUUUAUUUACGUGUUAUUAAGCUAUUUUAUGUGUCGGAGGCUAUAUCUUAAAGGGCGCGUGAGUUGUAUAAACGGGCCUAUAGCUCAGCUAGUCAGAGCGCACUCCCGAUAAGGGUGAGGUCUGUGGUGCAACUCCACAUAGGCCCACCAACUGAUGCAUAGUGUCGCCAUAAGGCGACCCAACAGGCUGCAGUUGGUGAAAGAGAGGGGAUAUAGCUCAGCUGGGAGAGCGCCUGCUUUGCAAGCAGGAGGUCGUCGGUUCAAAUCCGUCUAUCUCCACCAAAGAUUAUUUCAGAUAUUAGUAUCUGUAAAUAUAUAAUAAAUUUUUAAGUAUUUUGUGUUCUGAUGCUUUUGCACUGGCGGUAAAAUGAUAAAAAAUGUUUUUUAUUCUUUCUUUUUGUCAUUCUCCGGAUAUCUUAACUGAUAAUCUUAUUAAUUGAAAUAAGCCGGUCAAGGGAAUAUAUAAAUGCAAAGUACUAAGCAAUAAGCUCAUUGAAAACUUAAUAGUUGUAAAGGUAAAUCAAGCGUCUUCAAAUUAAUUUUUGAAAAUAAGAAAUAAAAGCUGUAAAGUCAUAUUUAACGUUUUAAAAGAAUGGAUUAGAUAAUGUGACCAAGCUAAUAAGUGCAUAUGGUGGAUGCCUUGGCUAAGACUGUCGAUGAAGGACGUGGUAAGCUGCGUUAAGCGUCGGGGAGGUGCAAACAACCUUUGAUCCGGCGAUUUCCGAAUGGGGUAACCCACUGCAGAGUAAUCUACAGUAUCCGAGAGGAAGGCAACCCGGGGAAGUGAAACAUCUCAGUACCCGGAGCAAAAGAAAUCAACCGAGAUACCGAAAGUAGUGGCGAGCGAAAUCGGUAUAGCCUAAACCAUUGUGUUUACACAAAGGGGUUGCAGGACCGCGUGAGUAGAGUUACCAAUCAAAAAGCUAAUUGAACGGUUUGGAAAAUCCGACCAUAGAAGGUGAAAGUCCUGUAAGUGAAAGUUUUUUGACUCGAAGCGGUAUCCUAAGUACCGUCGGACACGUGAAAUCCGGCGGGAAUCUGGGGGGACCACCCUCCAAGGCUAAAUACAAGUCUUAGACCGAUAGUGAACUAGUACCGUGAGGGAAAGGCGAAAAGAACCGCGGGAGCGGAGUGAAAUAGAACCUGAAACCGUAUGCAUACAAGCAGUUCGAGGCUUAUGCCGGAAGCGCAAGUAACCGGAAUGGCUGAGAGCGUGCCUGUUGAAGAAUGAUCCGGCGAGUUAUUGGUAGGUGCAAGGUUAAUUAUUAUGUUUACGCAUAUUAAGCAGCCGUAGCGAAAGCAAGUCUGAAAGGGCAAAUAGUACCUAUCAUUAGACCCGAAGCCAAGUGAUCUAUGCCUGGACAGAGUGAAUCCCCUUUAAUAGGGGGAGGAGGCUCGAAGCGUCGACCGUUAAAAAGGUCUUGCAUGAGCUGGGUAUAGGGGUGAAAGGCCAAUCUAACUUGGUGAUAGCUGGUUCUCCUCGAAAUAGUUUUUGGGCUAGCCUGGAGCGUUAAACCAGAGAGGUAGAGCACUGGAUAGUUUAGUGAGUGUAACCCACUUUGCAAUGCUAACCAAACUCCGAAUUCUUUGGCGUAUUUCUCUGGAGUCAGUACGUGUGGGAUAAGCUUCACGUGCAAAAGGGAAACAACCCAGACCAUCAAUUAAGGUCCCCAAAUAUAUGCUAAGUGGUAAAGGAUGUGGAAUUUCUUAGACAGCUAGGAGGUUGGCUUAGAAGCAGCCAUCCUUUAAAGAGUGCGUAACAGCUCACUAGUCAAGUGAUUCUGCGCCGAAGACACCCGGGGCUCAAGCAUAUUACCGAAAUUAUGGAUUCUAUAGCAAGUAAGUUAUAGAGUGGUAGAGGAGCGUUCCUGCUGCGCUGAAGGCAUACCGUAAGGAGUGCUGGAGUUGCAGGAAGUGAGAAUGUCGGAAUAAGUAGCGAUAAGAGAGGUGAAAAUCCUCUCCGCCGAAAACCUAAGGUUUCCUUGAGUAAAGUUCGUCUGCUCAGGGUCAGUCGAUCCUAAGCCGAGGUCGAAAGACGUAGGCGAUGGGUACCCGGUUAAUAUUCCGGAACUAUCUUUGGUGCGUAUAAUGUGUUCGGCUACGCUUUUCAGUAGGUCAUCAUCCGAUUGGAAGUGGAUGUUGCCCCGUAAGGGGGAGGAGCUGAGGUAACUCGGGAAACUGACUGUAUGGAAAGCCAAGAAAAACCCGGACACCUGUGCCAGAGGUAAACGUACCGCAAACGGACACACGUAGGUGGGGUGAAAAUCCUAAGGCGCGCGAGAUAACUUUCGUUUAGGAACUCGGCAUAUUAGCCCCGUAACUUCGGGAUAAGGGGUGCCUGUGGCAACACAGGUCGCAGUGAAAUGGCCCUCGUGACUGUUUAACAAAAACACAGGACUCUGCUGAAAUCGCAAGAUGAUGUAUAGGGUCUGACGCCUGCCCGGUG